rnacentral:sRNA from 1 species
GGGCGGGCCGAGCCCGGAGGCCAGAUGAGCGGACACAGCCCCACGCACGGGGCCAUGCAGGUGGCCAUGAACGGUAAGGCCCGCCAAGAGGCGGUGCAGACUGCGGCUAAGGAACUCCUGAAGUUCGUGAACCAGAGUCCCUCUCCUUUCCACGCUGUGGCUGAAUGCCGCAACCGCCUUCUCCAGGCUGGCUUCAGUGAACUCAAGGAGACUGAGAAAUGGAAUAUUAAGCCUGAGAGCAAGUACUUCAUGACCAGGAACUCCUCCACCAUCAUAGCUUUUGCUGUAGGGGGCCAGUACGUUCCUGGCAAUGGCUUCAGCCUCAUCGGGGCCCACACGGACAGCCCCUGCCUCAGGGUGAAACGUCGGUCUCGCCGCAGCCAGGUGGGCUUCCAGCAAGUCGGUGUGGAGACCUAUGGUGGUGGGAUCUGGAGCACCUGGUUUGACCGUGACCUGACUCUGGCUGGACGUGUCAUUGUCAAGGUGGGAACCGAGGUUGGGGAUGGCGGAGCCUCCUCAGAAGACUGACUGCCACACUCCUCAGGGUACCCGUGGGGAAGAGGGG